AUUGAACGCUGGCGGCAGGCUUAACACAUGCAAGUCGAGCGAGCGGCGGACGGGUGAGUAAUGUCUGGGAAACUGCCUGAUGGAGGGGGAUAACUACUGGAAACGGUAUCUAAUACCGCAUACCAUCAGAUGUGCCCAGAUGGGAUUAGCUAGUAGGUGGGGUAAUGGCUCACCUAGGCGACGAUUCCUAGCUGGUCUGAGAGGAUGACCAGCCAUACUGGACCUGAGCACCGGUCCAGACGCAUACGGGAGGCAGCAGUGGGGAAUAUUGCACAAGGGGCGAAGGCCUGAUGCAGCCAUGCGGCGUGUAGGAAGAAGGCCUUCGGGUUGUAAAGUACUUGCAGCGAGGAGGCGUUACUCGCAGAAGAAGAACCGGCUAACUCCGUGCCAGACGCCGCGGUAAUAC
rnacentral:rRNA from 1 species